UACGUAGGGUGCAAGCGUUAAUCGGAAUUACUGGGCGUAAAGCGUGCGCAGGCGGUUCGUCGUGUCUGAUGUGAAAUCCCCGGGCUCAACCUGGGAAUGGCAUUGGAAACUGGCGAACUAGAGUGUGGCAGAGGGGGGUGGAAUUCCGCGUGUAGCAGUGAAAUGCGUAGAGAUGCGGAGGAACACCGAUGGCGAAGGCAGCCCCCUGGGCUAACACUGACGCUCAGGCACGAAAGCGUGGGGAGCAAACAGG
rnacentral:rRNA from 1 species